rnacentral:lncRNA from 1 species
AAACAUCAAUGGUGUAAGAAACCCUUCCACUCAUUCAAAGGAUGUCUAUAAGUAAGCCUCGUCCUGAUGAUGAUAUAACCUAAACUCUUUCCUAGACUACCAAUCAAUAUAUGUUAUGUAGAGAUUUGAUUAUAAUAAUUACCUUAGUCGUAAAUAAUAAGAUGAUUGUGUAAAUAUUUUCAAGACGAAUAGUAUAGUAAUAACAUAAACUCAUACUAUAACAAUAUGUAGGUUAUAUUGAAUGCUUGAGGAGGGACAUAGAAAUGAAGAAAUUCGUCUGUCAUGAUCCUUGUCAAGAAACCAACAUCAUCAUCAUUACCCAUGGACUAUCCAGUCGGAUCUUCCUCAUGAAAUGGUUCGACUGGACGGUUGAGCAAUUUGAGGUUCUCAAUAGGAUGAGAACUGGUGAAUUUCAAGUGUUGCAAUUAGGGCAUGGCGGGGAACUCUUUUUUAGACUAUCAAUCAAUAUCUGUUAUGUAGAGAUUUGAUUAUAAUAAUUACCUUAGUCGUAAAUAAUAAGAUGAUUGUGUAAAUAUUUUCAAGACGAAUAGUAUAGUAAUAGCAUAAACUCAUACUAUAACAAUAUGUAGGUUAUAUUGAAUGCUUGAGGAGGGACAUAGAAAUGAAGAAAUUCGUCUGUCAUGAUCCUUGUCAAGAAACCAACAUCAUCAUCAUUACCCAUGGACUAUCCAGUCGGAUCUUCCUCAUGAAAUGGUUCGACUGGACGGUUGAGCAAUUUGAGGUUCUCAAUAGGAUGAGAACUGGUGAAUUUCAAGUGUUGCAAUUAGGGCAAGGCGGGGAAUACAGCCUAGCAUUUCAUCAUGAUGACAAAAAACUUCGCGAAUGGGGACUAUCUCCUGAUAUGAUAGAGGAUCAAAAAUGUAAAGCUUAUGGUCCUACAGGAGUUAAAUGGCAGGGAACUUGUGAUUCAUAUCCUUUCAUGGAUUGUUUUGCAGAAGAUUCAGAUGAUGAGAAUACAUUAUCUAAAUUAUAAGUACUAGCUAGCUAGUAAUCGUCCCUUUUAAGUAAAAUUAUGGUGUAAUUGGAUUGUUAUUAACUUAAACUCCCUCUCUGUUUUAGUCUUUACCUGUAUGCUAAAUUUGAUUGUUAUUAACUAUAUAUUCUCUUAUUUUAAAGAACUACAUCUUCUUAAUAACUUUCCAUUCUUAAGGAACACCUAAUAAAUAGAGGUAACUUAUAGUUAUAAUGAACGUGAAAUAAGCUAAAAUGAUACUUAUUUUGGGACGAGACGGAGAGUAGGUUUCAACUUUUCACAUUUGCUUUACUAAUUAGGAUUAUGAGGUCGACAAAUUCUGUUGUCUUCUUCUUUCUUUUUAAAAUAUGAAAUUUGUUUGCGUGGAUUUGAAUUUGAAAGAGUUUGGCAUGAUUGUUACUCUUUUUUAUUUGUUUCUUUUCCUUUUGCUUUCUAUACUUUUAGUUUAUGGUGGGUGUCCUUUGAAUUAGUAAAAUAUUUAUAUAUUUUUCAAUUCCUUUUCCCUUUCUUUAUGUCAGUAUUAUUUCAUUUUACCUGUCUGAAUUCUCAUUCAACAAAUCACACAGUACUGGCUCUCAAUAUAUAUAUUCCCAUGGGAUAAGGACCCCUUCAACAUAAAAUUCGACAAGUCCUUUAGGAACAACACUUUUAACAUGCGAUAAGAGGGCCGAAUAUGCUCUGAACUAUGCGAAAAGGAAUAAUUUUACCCCUAGAUUAUGAAUUUAACGGUACACUUCUACAAAUCUGUUUAUGUCUGUCCUGUUGGUAUGUAGGCUCAGAAGAUUCAUUGGUGCAAGAAAGACAUAAACCUUUUACUCAAACAAAAUCCAGUCAUGUACUGUAACUGUCUCUAUAGUUGUCCAUUAGGCAGCUACCUAAAAUUAAGCAGGCAACUCGACCUGUCUUAUGUCUAAUCUUACAAGUUCACCAAGUCCAGGUAGUGUUUUCUCCCUAAAAAAUCACAAACUUUAGCAGUUACCAACCAUGGAUGUGGUACAGUGGUGAACUGCUUCACCAUUAAACAUACCUUAGAAGUUUUGGGUUCGAGCCCUGAAUAUGGAGAAAAUCUUAUUUAAACUGCGCGAUUCAAAUUUAGUCAGACUCCAAUGGGACCCGUGAGGGAAACAAAAAUAAAAUAAAAAAUCUAGGUAGCGAUACUAUAGUUAUACUCAUUUUUUUUUUCUUUAAUGGCUUUUAUUAAUUAAUUUAUUUAUUUUUAAAUUUAAACAAGGCUAAUAGCCUGUUUCGCCAAAUUCUUAAGAAGUUAAAAAUGUUUAUUUUAGAAAAUUUAGGUAUUUGGUCAAGUUUUUAGGAAAAAAUGUAAGUGAUUUAAGUAGUAGUAAUAAAUAAGUAGUUUUUUCAAAAAUUGUUACUUACACUUUUUUUUUAAAAAAAAAUACAUCUUUCCAUUUUAGGGACAAACAAAUUGAUACGACAUUUAUUACUUUUUUCAGGACAAGUGAAUAAUUACUUACAAAUUUGGGGACCACGUAGGAACACUAAAUGACAUACGUGGACCAGAUUGAUUGGUCUACUGAAUAACUCUAUUUUCCCGGUUUUGAUUAAAGUUUAAUUUGGAUUGUGAUUAGCACUAAAACACAUCCAUUGUUAGUGUUUGAAUGAUGAUCAAACGCUACCUUUGCUAUUUUAAAAAAGCAGAGACUUGUUCUUCACUACCUAAUUCCUUCUAUUUUCUCUCUUCUACAAAUGUUGCAUUAUGUUUAACCAACUCCAUAUAUUUCGUCUCUCUUUUUUGGGAUCUGAGUUACUUUUACUUUUCCUAAUCCACUAAAGCUAAUCACUAUUUGUGUUUUUUUCUCUCUCUCUGUAUUUUGGAUUUCAAGAAAGAGUUUGAAUACUACUCACUACAAUCAUUUGUGUGCUUGCUUAUACAUUCUUUUCGUUUGGUGGGUUGCAAGGCAUUAGGAUAUAGACCCAUUUUGUGAAGUGGGUUUUUGUUUAGACUUGCUCAAAUGAUUGAGUUUGAGUUUCAGAUUAUUAGAAAGUUUUGAUCUUUUUGACACAGGUAUGGAAAAUGUGUGUUUUUUUGGGUGUUUGAUAUGUGGGUUUCAGUGAAAAUCUGAAAAAUUGGGUGGGUGUUUGAUAUGUGGUUUUCAGUGAAAAUUUGAAAAAAUGGGAUUUUCAGAUUUGUAGUUUUGUUGUCUUUUUCUUGAUUUUGUUUUGAAAUUGAAAUCUGGUUUGGGUUGUUUGCUUGCUUGUUUGUUUUGUGUACUGACAGUUGGGUUUUGGAACUUUUGUUGUGUGUUUUAGGGGCACUUUUAUGGCUUAUCCAUCAGACCAUAGGUCCUCUAGUCGUGGGACUGUGAGAUUUGUUUUGGUUCUGGUGGGUUUGUUUUUGGUUAUUUACAUGGUGACAACACCAACAUUGCGGCACUCUAAGGCUUUGUCUUCAUGUCCUCCAUGUUUCUGUGAUUGUGAGGAGGAUCCCAUGUUCUCGCCUAUAGGUCAGUUUAUCUCUCUUUGGAUGCUAAAUCUUGCUCAUCUACCUUUGAAAUUGUGUAGGUUGUGUACUUAUGUUGGCUGAUUUGAUUCUAAUGACUAAAAGUAAUGCCUUUUACAUAUUGAGACACUUAGUUCAUUUAAAGUUGAGUUUCUGCUUUUAGUAAGAAGUGAUAUUGUUUAAGGUCUAUGUAUGAACAAUUUGAUUAAGAAAACUUGUAUAGCCUUCAUGGGGUUGCUUGUCAUCCAAAUUGGUGAACUAUGGUCCAUUUUUGUAAUAAGUAUUAACCAAUUGAAUAAACUGGCAGGAUUCUCAAUUAAUAGUACCUUAUUUUUACCACUUAUAGAAGGUGGAGAAUGAACUAUAACUAAAUAUUAGAAGGAAUUCAUGUGAGUUGAAAACUUUUUGGUUCUUCCACAGGAGGAAGAACUGGAAAUAGACACAAAACCAUUCAUCCUAGCUCUAUUUUUGUUCAAAUGAAAUGCUUAGCCAAUUUCAUGCAUCAACCAAAAGGUCAUUUCUAAGUCGAUAUGUUCUUAUUGAGUAUGGCUAGAGAAUAUUCAUGACAGAAGUAACAGGAAUGAGUGAGCUGUCUUGUAUAUUUAAAGACUAUAUACAAAAAUCAAAUGCUUCGUAUUAUUAUACUUCCAUAUACAUAGCGAGGAUUUCAUACAGUCAAUCUUAAGUUAGGUCUUUCUAGAAUCCUCAAGAACUAAGUGAAUUUGCUUAGAAUUGCUGCAGGUUACUAUUCAUAAUAAAAUAAUUUUUAAUUACACAAAAUAUAUAUGAUUUAUUUUUUUUAAAAAUCUUUUUUUCUUUCGCUCCAUACCAAGUCAUACCAAUUCAUAUUAGUUGAAACGAAGGGAGUAAUCAUUACAAAAAUAAGCUGACUUCUUAAGUAUAUCAUUUUUUUUAAUUAUAUACAUCACGCUAAUAUUUGUAUUUCUAUUUUUGCAUCUUUCUUAUUUUAUCUACAAAUGACAAAUACAACGCGAAGUUGAAAAUCACACGUUCAAAAAUUCAAAUUCAAAUGUUAAUCCAUCACGUUCCCACUUCCAGCAAUGAACUAGAGGCUUGCAGACUAGUGUGUGGGGUGUGUAGCUACAUUAUGGCCAUGCUGGCCUAGUUUGUUAGUUUGUUGAAGCUUGUGAGUUGUUUGAUGUAUUGUCUUGACAUAUACAUGCUUUCAGUUUUGGUAUAGAAAUCAUGGUGGCCUCGACGUCCCAAUCAGGGUUUCUGUGCUAGUUUGCUAUUUCUUUAUAUGAACUCUUGGGAGUAGCUGUUUCGUUUAUAGAUCUGUUGACAGGGACCUUGUCGGCCGAGGGCUUAGUUUUAAGCCGAGAUAUACUUGUUUAUUUUAUUGAUUGUGUGUGACUGCCAUAUGCUAGUAGCAAAUAGUUCAGCAGGGUCAGCUCGGGCCUGAGUUUUGGCAUUAGGAGCCAGUUGCGCCCCUUGAGUUUGGGGCGUGACAGUUUUUGUGUGAGUUUUGAAUACUCCCUCGAAAAUUUAUAUGAUUCACUUUUCUUUUGAGUUAUUUCCAAAAAAAUGAAAUAUAUUUUUUAUAUUUAGUAACAAUUUAACUUUAAAAUACUCAUUUUAUUCAUAAUAAAAUAAUUUUUAAUUACACAAAAUAUAUAUGAUUUAUUUUUUUUAAAAAUCUUUUUUUCUUUCGCUCCAUACCAAGUCAUACCAAUUCAUAUUAGUUGAAACGAAGGGAGUAAUCAUUACAAAAAUAAGCUGACUUCUUAAGUAUAUCAUUUUUUUUAAUUAUAUACAUCACGCUAAUAUUUGUAUUUCUAUUUUUGCAUCUUUCUUAUUUUAUCUACAAAUGACAAAUACAACGCGAAGUUGAAAAUCACACGUUCAAAAAUUCAAAUUCAAAUGUUAAUCCAUCACGUUCCCACUUCCAGCAAUGAACUAGAGGCUUGCAGACUAGUGUGUGGGGUGUGUAGCUACAUUAUGGCCAUGCUGGCCUAGUUUGUUAGUUUGUUGAAGCUUGUGAGUUGUUUGAUGUAUUGUCUUGACAUAUACAUGCUUUCAGUUUUGGUAUAGAAAUCAUGGUGGCCUCGACGUCCCAAUCAGGGUUUCUGUGCUAGUUUGCUAUUUCUUUAUAUGAACUCUUGGGAGUAGCUGUUUCGUUUAUAGAUCUGUUGACAGGGACCUUGUCGGCCGAGGGCUUAGUUUUAAGCCGAGAUAUACUUGUUUAUUUUAUUGAUUGUGUGUGACUGCCAUAUGCUAGUAGCAAAUAGUUCAGCAGGGUCAGCUCGGGCCUGAGUUUUGGCAUUAGGAGCCAGUUGCGCCCCUUGAGUUUGGGGCGUGACAGUUUUUGUGUGAGUUUUGAAUACUCCCUCGAAAAUUUAUAUGAUUCACUUUUCUUUUGAGUUAUUUCCAAAAAAAUGAAAUAUAUUUUUUAUAUUUAGUAACAAUUUAACUUUAAAAUACUCAUUUUAUUCAUAAUAAAAUAAUUUUUAAUUACACAAAAUAUAUAUGAUUUAUUUUUUUUAAAAAUCUUUUUUUCUUUCGCUCCAUACCAAGUCAUACCAAUUCAUAUUAGUUGAAACGAAGGGAGUAAUCAUUACAAAAAUAAGCUGACUUCUUAAGUAUAUCAUUUUUUUUAAUUAUAUACAUCACGCUAAUAUUUGUAUUUCUAUUUUUGCAUCUUUCUUAUUUUAUCUACAAAUGACAAAUACAACGCGAAGUUGAAAAUCACACGUUCAAAAAUUCAAAUUCAAAUGUUAAUCCAUCACGUUCCCACUUCCAGCAAUGAACUAGAGGCUUGCAGACUAGUGUGUGGGGUGUGUAGCUACAUUAUGGCCAUGCUGGCCUAGUUUGUUAGUUUGUUGAAGCUUGUGAGUUGUUUGAUGUAUUGUCUUGACAUAUACAUGCUUUCAGUUUUGGUAUAGAAAUCAUGGUGGCCUCGACGUCCCAAUCAGGGUUUCUGUGCUAGUUUGCUAUUUCUUUAUAUGAACUCUUGGGAGUAGCUGUUUCGUUUAUAGAUCUGUUGACAGGGACCUUGUCGGCCGAGGGCUUAGUUUUAAGCCGAGAUAUACUUGUUUAUUUUAUUGAUUGUGUGUGACUGCCAUAUGCUAGUAGCAAAUAGUUCAGCAGGGUCAGCUCGGGCCUGAGUUUUGGCAUUAGGAGCCAGUUGCGCCCCUUGAGUUUGGGGCGUGACAGUUUUUGUGUGAGUUUUGAAUACUCCCUCGAAAAUUUAUAUGAUUCACUUUUCUUUUGAGUUAUUUCCAAAAAAAUGAACAUUCUCAGUUCUCACACACCUUUGAAUAUUAUAAUUGAAGCUUUGGGUCUCGCCACAACUUUGCUCUUGUCAUUCAAUUAUUCAGUUUUUUCUAUUGAUUGACAUCAAUUGUUAUUCCAAUUGAAAGUAAGAUGCAAUCUUUAAAUAAUCGUUAAUUAAAUAGAUAAUGGUAUCCAUAAUAUGAGUUUAUCGUUUAAAAGAAUGUAGUGUAAUUGAUAGAACUAACAGUCUGAGACUUCAAGUUACGAUAAGAAUAAAAUCAAGUAGUCUGCUUUCAGCAUAAGCAAGUUGGUAAAACAUGAUGACAUAAUGGAAGUUAUAGUACUAUUUUACAUCAAGAUUGAAUUAAACGUGCUUGUCUGAUUUUUUUUUCUUUUGAAAGGGAUAAGAAACUCAUAGCAGUUUGCUCUACAAAUCUUAAUUUUGAAUGACCAUAAAUCCUUGGAACAGGAUUUAUAUUGAAUCCCAGCCAAUAUACAGAAAGAACCAAACCUUUUUCUGCUUUAUAUCUGCUAGUGUAGUAAGCAUCUUUUCCAAGGCAGUAUUAAAUUCAAUCUUAUGCUUGAUGACACUCAACACCGCCGAAGAAAUUCAUAUCUUCAUUGCAACAAUCACUAAUAUUUUUUACGGGAGAGAAAUUCUGAAGGAUGACUUGAACUAAUAAUACCACCUUUUAAAGGAAAAGAAGUGUCUUCUUUCCUUCAAUACUCAAUGUUGGAAAGGUUCCCCAAGCUUUACUAGCUCAUAGGAUGGACUUGAAUUUUGUUUUCUGAUCGUAAUUCUGCUUAUCAAAGAUCCAUGUCUAGUUUAAAAUUAAAGUUUGGUGUGUUUAUUGCCUUAGUCUAAAUUAUAAGAUCGUCGGUUAAAACUAAUUCCAAUUUUUUGAGACCAGAAUGAAUUUGCUGACUUAAAUGGAUGAUAGUGAUAUGAUUCAAAUAAUUAUUUAUACACACUAGUGAUAUAAUAGAGACUGAUUUCUUUUACAUGUGUCCACCAAAAAUCCUUCUGUUAUGAUAGUAGUUGGUUUCUUUAAUUUGUUAUUUGAGCAAAAUGUAACUGGUUUGUUCAGUGCGUUGAAUCAAUGAGGAUGCAUUUGAAUUAAGCUGCAAUUCAGAAGAGUGAAGUUUGAUACUUAUUUUCAUUUGUAAAAUUUUGUAAUGCAGAUUUCCUUGAAACCCUAUGGAGGGAUGUUGAUAUGAACAGGCACCAUCACAAUCCUAAUAAGGAGUUGAAUCUUGUAAUUGUAUCCCAUGGUCUAGCUAGUCAAGUUUUUCUAAUGAAGUGGUUCAAGUGGACAGUGGAACAAUUCGAGUACCUAAACAAUCUAGGGAAUUGUGAGUUUCGAGUUAUGGAAUUAGGGGCGGGUGGUGAAUAUAGCCUAGCAGUCCAUCAUACUGAUGAAGAGAUGCUAGAAUGGGGUAUGUCCCCUGAGAUGAUCGCUGACCAAAAAUGGCGAGCUAAUGCUAACAGGGGUACUUUGAAUGAUCAUUGCCCUUGGUACCUUGAUGCUUUCUUUGACCAUUUAGCGGAUUCAAAUGACAAAGAUGAUGAAGAUGUGAAGUCAAACAACUAGUAUCUCCCCUUAGCAUGACAUUGAUAAUGUGUAUUCGUUCCAAUUCUGUUGUACUGUUCAUUUGGUUAACUGAUAGAAAUGUUUGUAAGCUCUUUUCAAGUUGUUGUUACAAUUUUAUGCCCGGAGGCAUUAUCAGUGUCAAUUUCUUGUAAAUUUGAAACUUUCAAUUGUAUAACAAUCAUUUGAUAUCAAGGAUGAAGUAUGAAUUUAGUUUUUGACUGGUAAAAUUAUGAUUUUUAAACAGGAUGAAGAUUGAUUUAGUUUUGACAGGGUCAAGUUACAAGUUUUAGACCAGUUUUCACUGCUGAGGUCGUUGUUUUAACUGACGUAUAAUGGAAGGUAAUGCAGAGUUGAAAGGACUUUGCAUUGAAAUUCACCUUAUCAAGUUCUCUCGAGUCUAAUUCUGAAAACUUUGACCAAUGACCAUUAUUUUGACAUGGAAUGAAAAAUUGCCACAUAUAAUUUUUUAAUAUCUAAAUUAAAAUUUUAAGGUAUUGAAUUGAUUCAAAGCUUAUAAGUCAAUUAAACUGACUUAUAAACAUUCAAAAUGCUUAUGAGCCAAAAUCAACAAAAGUCAUUAGUAAUCGACCUCAACUUAUUAUUUCUUCAGAUUAUAAGCACUUUUAGUUAUCGAGCCUUCACUCUUAUGCAAUAGUUUGCAAACCACACAAGAGAGGUAAUUCGCACUAGGUAAACCCAGUGCGACAAGCUCGACCCAGAAAACAAAUCCCUUGCUUUCAGUGGCAAGAGAUUUCAAACUUGAGACCUCCAAUAUGAAAGUCUCAAGCCCAAACCACUAGGUUACUCGAAGAGUCAUUUUAUAAAUAAAUUUUCAAAAACAAAACUUCUAACUUCCCUCCAUCCCAUAUACACCAUUCAUCCUUUUCCUAACGAAAAUAUUUUUAUAUUUAUAAUUUGUAAUAAAGAAAGGAUGAAAAAUAAUAUGUUAAUCAUUUAUUUAUUAAAUUAAUUUUAAUACUAGAAAAAUUCUUAUGAACACGUAAUGUUUAAUAAUUUUCAUAUAUACUUCCCUGGUUGUAUAUGAGUUGAAUAAAAAAUAUCAAAUGAACGGUUGUUUUCAAACGAACUUUUUUAAGUAUCAGAUUCUUUGUAGGUGAUUUUCAUGUAAUUUCACAAAUUUGGAACUUAGCUCAUACGCUAAAAGAAUGCCGCGUGGGACAUAUAACUCUUAGCUUGACUCAAUUUUUAAUUACUCUCUAGUCAAGUCUAGUCCUUCAAUAUGCCAACAAAAACGACAUAUACGAAUAAAAAAAAGGACAAAAAAAUGUAAAUUGACUUCAUUAAUUAAGGAAGUCUUUUAAUAAUUCAUUGUAAUUAUUUAUUUGCUAAAAGCUUAUGUGGAACUGUAAACAUAUGUAUAAUUAAUUAUCUAAUGCAAAUAUAAAUGAAAACUUUUCACGCAUGCAAUGUAGUUGUAUAAUUAAUAAGGGAAACAUACUUUAUUAUUUAUGGUAAAUUAACAGAAGGAUAUUCUCUUAUGAGUUAAUUAAUUAUCGUAAUUAAUUUUUUCCAUCUUCUAAAGAAAAUGACUUGAAAAGAUGUAAUUAACUUGAAUAUCUAAUUAGUUAAGGUAACUUCAAUUAAGAAACUUUGCCGUAUGUUUAGGGCCACAAUAUAAUUCUCCAUGCAGGACAACGUAAAAUUAAUCAAUAUUGCGACAGGUCUCCUACUUGUCUACCACAAAAAAAAAAAUUAAAAAAAAUAAUGACACAGAAGAUGCCAACAUGAGCAUGUGAGGAGGUUCCGAUAGUGCAGUGCAGUGGUACGUCGUAAGGGAUUUUGAAUUUGAGUCUUAGUAUAAAAUUGUUUUUGAUAAAGAAGGUUUUAUUUCUAAAUUAGUUAAAUUUUCUAAUAUAAAUUCAAAUUAGUUGGACUCUAAAAUAAUUAUCAAACACUGAGUUAAGAAAAAGAGAGGAACAUGUGGGGAAGUUCUUGGAACGUUACAUAUUUUGUUCUCAUCAGAAUAUUUAGGCAUUAUUAUUGUAUUCGUUAAGAGAGCAUGUUAGACUUUACUAGUUCUUUAAAGGAUAUUCGUAAGGUAUAUUGUUCAAUAUAAACUUUGUUUUGUUGGACAUAUAUAAAUUAUAUUUAGUAUGAUAUUUUCUCAAUUUAUAUGAUAUUUUUUCUGAUAUAUUGUUUCAAUUAAAAUGACGUCUUUUUAUAUUUUAAGUAUUUUUUUAAUUUAUCAUUAAUUAAAUGAAUUAUAGAUAUAAAAAUUUCUAUGACUUACUUACAUCCAAGUUUAAUAACUUCUUUUAACAUUUCACAUCAAAUUAAACAAGAUGGAUAACUAUUUUUUAAGCCUUGUUUGCGAGGAAAACUUAUACUACUUACUUUUCAUUUUACGAUCUCGACAUUUUAUAAUAUGUUAGUUAUUAUCAAAUUGAAAUUUAUGAUAUAAAAAGACUUACUAUACGUAAGACUAUUACAAGUCAUUUAUUUAAUUGUAUUCAUAUCUUUUAUUCUGUGCAUUGAAUAUAAACUCUGCGAAUAUUAUAGGUCUACGAAGACUCGGAUGCUCAGUCAAAGUUGCAUCACCUUCAUUUUCAAACUAUACAAAAAAAAAAAAUUAAAAAAAUCUAUAUAUGAGAAAAUGAAAAAUAGUCUUAUAUAUGUGAGAAUAUGUAUAAAAUAGUCCCUAAAGUUUAAUUUUAAUAGUUUUGGUUCUUUAAGUUUAUCAAAGGUUAAUACUUUUGAUUUCGUCAAAUAUUUAACGUACUUAAAAUGUUAAUACUUUUGAUUUUGUCAAAUAUUUAACGAACUUUAGUAAUUUGAUGAGAUAUACGAAGUAUUUUUUAAUCAUAAGAGUAAGAAAGUCUCAUGAAAUCCUAAAAAUCGCAAUAUAAAAAACUACACUAGAUAAAAAUUGUACAAAACAACACACCAAAUUCUAGAAAGAAACCAAAACUUACAAAAAUAGUAACUCCAAACGCAAUUCCCACUAAAAAAAAUAUUGCUUUCAUAGUUUCCGUCAAAUCAGACAAAAAGUAAUACCAACUCUUUGCAAACUUUAGGGACCAAAACAGUUGAAAUCAUCAUACUUUAGGGACUAUUUAUCAUUUUUUUCACUAUUUGGCCUUUUUUCAUGUAUAUAAACCAUGUGAACUUCGUGCAUGAUAUAUCACCGAAAUAACACAAACAUCAAUAGAAGUUGAAAGCAUGCUAGGGUUCUGAAAGUGUUCUAGAUUCAUAAAACAACUCUCUCUGUCACUGUCGCCGGAGAUUAUUAUUUCCCGAUCUGAUCGAAAGCAGGUCACCGGGAACAAUGGCGUUAGCUUUCGAUGAAUUCGGAAGGCCGUUUAUAAUACUAAGGGAGCAAGAACAAAAAACUAGAUUAAGAGGCCUCGAUGCUCAGAAGGCCAACAUUUCUGCCAGAAAAGCUGUUGCACGUAUUUUACGUACCUCACUUAGUCCUAAAGGCAUGGAUAAGAUGCUUCAGAGCCCUGACGGCGAUGUCACCAUCACAAAUGAUGGUGCCACCAUUUUGGAGCAGAUGGAUGUUGACAAUCAGAUUGGAAAGUUGAUGAUUGAGUUGUCACGAAGUCAAGAUUAUGAAAUUGGCGAUGGAACCACUGGAGUUGUUGUCAUGGCUGGGGCACUGCUAGAACAAGCUGAGAAGUUGUUAGAACGUGGUAUUCAUCCUAUUUGGAUUGCAGAAGGGUAUGAAAUGGCUUCAAGGAUUGCAGUUGAGCAUUUGGAGCGUGUAGCACAUAAGAUUGAAUUCGGUCUGAAUGACAUUGAGCCUUUGGUUCAAACUUGCAUGACUACUUUGUCAUCUAAGAUUGUGAAUAGAUGAUGCAAACGUAGCAUGGCUGAAAUUGCUGUUAAAGCUGUUUUAGCAGUUGCUGAUUUAGAGAGGAAGGAUGUAAACCUGGACUUGAUCAAAGUUGAAGGGAAAGUUGGUGGGAAGUUAGAGGACACAGAGCUAAUUUAUGGUAUUAUAGUUGACAAAGAUAUGAGUCAUCCACAGAUGCCAAAGCAAAUUGAGGAUGCGAAAAUUGCAAUUUUGACAUGUCCUUUUGAGCCUCCUAAGCCAAAGACUAAGCAUAAGGUUGACAUUGAUACUGUGGAGAAGUUUCAAACUUUACGCCUACAGGAGCAGAAGUACUUUGAUGACAUGGUCCAGAAGUGCAAGGAUGUUGGUGCUACCUUAGUUAUCUGCCAGUGGGGUUUUGAUGAUGAAGCUAAUCACUUAUUAAUGCAUAGAAAUUUGCCCGCUGUUAGAUGGGUAGGUGGUGUGGAAUUGGAGCUGAUAGCAAUUGCCACAGGUGGGAGAAUAGUACCAAGGUUUCAAGAGUUGACAUCUGAAAAACUUGGCAAGGCUGGUAUUGUUCGGGAGAAAGCUUUCGGUACAACAAAGGAUAGAAUGAUUUACAUUGAGCAUUGUGCAAAUUCAAGAGCAGUAACUAUAUUUAUCCGUGGUGGCAAUAAGAUGAUGAUAGUGGAGACAAAACGUAGUAUCCAUGAUGCUUUAUGUGUUGCUAGAAAUCUUAUUCGCAACAAUUCAAUUGUGUAUGGUGGUGGUUCAGCAGAGAUUUCUUGCUCAAAUGCUGUUGAAGCGGCUGCUGAUAAACAUCCAGGAGUUGAACAGUAAGCAAUCAGGGCAUUUGCAGAUGCUUUGGAUUCUGUCCUAAUGGCACUUGCUAAGAACAGUGGUCUUCAGCCUAUUGAAACUCUAUCUGCUGUUAAGUCUCAGCAAAUUAAGGAGAAUAUUCCCUGCUGUGGAAUAGAUUGUAAUGAUGUUGGCACAAAUGACCAUAAAUCCUUGAACAGGAUUUCUAUUGAAUCCCAGCCAAUAUACAGAAAGAACCAAACCUUAUUCUGCUUUAUAUCUACUAGUGUAGUAAGCAUCUUUUCCAAGGCAGUAUUAAAUUCAAUCUUAUGCUUGAUGACACUCAACACCGCCGAAGAAAUUCAUAUCUUCAUGGCAACAAUCACUAAUAUUUUUACGAGAGAAAUUCUGAAGGAUGACUUGAACUAAUAAUAUCACCUUUUAAAGGAUAAAAGUGUCUUCUUUCCUUCAAUACUCAAUGUUGGAAAGGUUCCCCAAGCUUUACUAGCUCAUAGGAUGGACUUGAAUUUUGUUUUCUGAUCGUAAUUCUGCUUAUCAAAGAUCCAUGUCUAGUUUAAAAUUAAAGUUUGGUGUGUUUAUAGCCUUAAUCUAAAUUAUAAGAUCGUCGGUUAAAACUAAUUCAAAUUUUUUGAGACCAGAAUGAAGUUGCUGACUUAAAUGGAUGAUAGUGAUAUAAUUCAAAUACUUAUUAUUUUAUACACACUAGUGAUAUAAUAAAGACUGAUUUCUUUUACAUGUGUCCACCAAAAAUCCUUCUGUUAUGGUAGUAGUUGGUUUCUUUAAUUUGCUAUUUGAGCAAAAUGUUACUGGUUUGUUCAGUGCAUUGAAUCAAUGAGGAUGCAUUUGAAUUAAGCUGCAAUUCAGAAGAGUGAAGUUUGAUACUUAUUUUCAUUUGUAAAAUUUUGUAAUGCAGAUUUCCUUGAAACUCUAUGGAGGGAUGUUGAUAUGAACAGGCACCAUCACAAUCCUAAUGAGGAGUUGAAUCUUGUAAUUGUAUCCCAUGGUCUAGCUAGUCGAGUUUUUCUAAUGAAGUGGUUCAAGUGGACAGUGGAACAAUUCGAGUACCUAAACAAUCUAGGGAAUUGUGAGUUUCGAGUUAUGGAAUUAGGGGCGGGUGGUGAAUAUAGCCUAGCAGUCCAUCAUACUGAUGAAGAGAUGCUAGAAUGGGGUAUGUCCCCUGAGAUGAUCGCUGACCAAAAAUGGCGAGCUAAUGCUAACAGGGGUACUUUGAAUGAUCAUUGCCCUUGGUACCUUGAUGCUUUCUUUGACCAUUUAGCGGAUUCAAAUGAUGAAGAUGUGAAGUCAAACAACUCGUAUCUCCCCUUAGCAUGACAUUGUUAACGUGUAUUCGUUCCAAUUCUGUUGUACUGUUCAUUUGGUUAACUGAUAGAAAUGUUUGUAAGCUCUUUUCAAGUUGCUGUUACAAUUUUAGGCCCGGCGGCAUUAUCAGUGUCAAUUUCUUGUAAAUUUGAAACUUUCAAUUGUAUAACAAUCAUUUGAUAUCUAGGAUGAAGUAUGAAUUUAGUUUUUGACUGGUAAAAUUAUGAUUUUUAAACAGGAUGAAGAUUGAUUUAGUUUUGACAGGUUCAAGUUACAAGUUUUAGACCAGUUUUCACUGCUGAGGUCGUUGUUUUAACUGACGUAUAAUGGAAGGUAAUUGCAAAGUUGAAAUUCACCUUAUCAAGUUCUCUCGAGUCUAAUUCUGAAAACUUUGACCAAUGACCAUUAUUUUGACAUGGAAUGAAAAAUUGCUACAUAUAAUUUUUAAAUAUCUAAAUUAAAAUUUUAAGAUAUUGAAUUGAUUCAAAGCUUAUAAGUCGAUUAAACUGACUUAUAAACAUUCAAAAUGCUUAUGAGCCAAAAUCAACAAAAGUCAUUAGUAAUCAACCUCAACUUAUUAUUUCUUCAGAUUAUAAACAAUUUUAGUUUUUCGAGCCUUUACUCUUAUGUAAUAGCUUGCAUACCACACAAGAGAGGUAAUUCGCACUAGGUAAACCCGGUGCGACAAGCUCGACCCAGAAAACAAAUCCCUUGCUUUCAGUGGCAAGAGAUUUCAAACUUAAGACCUCCAAUAUGAAAGUCUCAAGCCCAAACCACUAAGUUAGUCGAAGAGUCAUUUUAUAAAUAAAUUUUCAAAAACAAAACUUCUAACUUCCCUCCAUCCCAUAUACACCAUUCAUCCUUUUCCUAACGAAAAUAUUUUUAUAUUUAUAAUUUGUAAUAAAGAAAGGAUGAAAAAUAAUAUGUUAAUCAUUUAUUUAUUAAAUUAAUUUUAAUACUAGAAAAAUUCUUAUGAACACGUAAUGUUUAAUAAUUUUCAUAUAUACUUCCCUGGUUGUAUAUGAGUUGAAUAAAAAAUAUCAAAUGAAUGGUUGUUUUCAAACGAACUUUUUUAAGUAUGAGAUUCUUUGUAGGUGAUUUUCAUGUAAUUUCACAAACUUGGAACUUAGCUCAUACGCUAAAAGAAUGCCGCGUGGGACAUAUAACUCUUAGCUUGACUCAACUUUUAAUUAAUCUCUAGUCAAGUCUAGUCCUUCAAUAUGCCAACAAAAACGACAUAUACGAAUAAAAAAAAGGACCAAAAAAAUGUAAAUUGACUUCAUUAAUUAAGGAAGUCUUUUAAUAAUUCAUUGUAAUUACUUAUUUGCUAAAAGCUUAUGUGGAACUGUAAACAUAUGUAUAAUUAAUUACCUAAUGAAAAUAUAAAUGAAAACUUUUCACGCAUGCAAUGUAGUUGUAUAAUUAAUAAGGGAAACGUACUUUAUUAUUUAUGGUAAAUUAACAGAAGGAUAUUCUCUUGUGAGUUAAUUAAUUAUCGUAAUUAAUUUUUUCCAUCUUCUAAAGAAAAUGACUUGAAAAAUAUCUAAUUAGUUAAGGUAACUUCAAUUAAGAAACUUUGCCGUAUGUUUAGGGCCACAAUAUAAUUCUCCAUGCAGGACACGUAAAAUUAAUUAAUAUUGCGACAGGUCUCCUACUUGUCUACCACAAAAAAAAAAAAAAAAAAAUAAUGACACAGAAGAUGCCAACAUGAGCAUGUGGGGAGGUUACGAUAGUGCAGUCCAGUGGUAAGUCGUAAGGGAUUUUGAAUUUGAGUCUUUAGUAUAAAGUUGUUUUUGAUAAAGAAUGUUUUAUUUUUAAAUUAGUAGAAUUUUCUAAUAUAAAUUUAAAUUAAUUGGACUCUAAAAUAAUUAUCGAACACUGAGUUAAAAAAAAAGAGAGGAACAUGUGGGGAAGUUCUUGGAACGUUACAUAUUUUGUUCUCAUCAGAAUAUUUAGGCAUUAUUAUUGUAUUCGUUAAGAGAGCAUAUUAAACUUUACUAGUUCUUUAAAGGAUAUUCGUAAGGUAUAUUAUUCAAUAUAAACUUUGUUUUGUUGGACAUAUAUAAAUUAUAUUUAGUAUUAUAUUUUCUCAAUUUAUAUGAUAUUUUUUCUGAUUUACUGUUUCAAUUAAAAUGACGUCUUUUUAUAUUUUAAGUAUUUUUUUUAAUUUAUCAUUAAUUAAAUGAAUUAUAGAUAUAAAAAUUUCUAUGACUUACUUACAUCCAAGUUUAAUAACUUCUUUUAACAUUUCACAUCAAAUUAAACAAGAUGGAUAACUAUUUUUUAAGCCUUGUUUGCGAGGAAAACUUAUACUACUUACUUUUCAUUUUACGAUCUCGACAUUUUAUAAUAUGUUAGUUAUUAUCAAAUUGAAAUUUAUGAUAUAAAAAGACUUACUAUACGUAAGACUAUUACAAGUCAUUUAUUUAAUUGUAUUCAUAUCUUUUAUUCUGUGCAUUGAAUAUAAACUUUGCGAAUAUUAUAGGUCUACGAAGACUCGGAUGCUCAGUCAAAGUUGCAUCACCUUCAUUUUCAAACUAUACAAAAAAAAAAAAUUAAAAAAAUCUAUAUAUGAGAAAAUGAAAAAUAGUCUUAUAUAUGUGAGAAUAUGUAUAAAAUAGUCCCUAAAGUUUAAUUUUAAUAGUUUUGGUUCUUUAAGUUUAUCAAAGGUUAAUACUUUUGAUUUCGUCAAAUAUUUAACGUACUUAAAAUGUUAAUACUUUUGAUUUUGUCAAAUAUUUAACGAACUUUAGUAAUUUGAUGAGAUAUACGAAGUAUUUUUUAGUCAUAAAAGUAAGAAAGUCUCAUCAAAUCCUAAAAAUCUCAAUAUAAAAAACUACACUAGAUAAAAUUUGUACAAAACAAUACACCAAAUUCUAGAAAGAAACCAAAACUUACAAAAAUAGUAACUCCAAACGCAAUUCCCACUAAAAAAAAUAUUGCUUUCAUAGUUUCCGUCAAAUCAGACAAAAAGUAAUACCAACUCUUUGCAAACUUUAGGGACCAAAACAGUUCAAAUCAUCAUACUUUAGGGACAAUUUUGUUAUCAUUUUUUUCACUAUUUGGCCUUUUUUCAUGUAUAUAAACCAUGUGAACUUCGUGCAUGAUAUAUCACCGAAAUAACACAAACAUCAAUAGAAGUUCAUUACUGGUCUUUCUCUUUAAUACCCUUUUGUUCCUAUUAUCUGCUCAAAUGUCUCUCGUCAAAAUUCAAACCAACACUCAUUUGCCCAAACGCAUAAUCCUGGUCCGUCACGGCGAGUCUUCAGGAAACGCCGACAGAAAUGUGCGCGGAACAACUCCAACUCACAAAUUUGAACUGACGGAGAAAGGGAUUGAGCAGGCCAAGCAAACUGGAAUCCGAAUUAAGAAACUGAUUUCUGAAAAUGAUAACAAUUGGAAGGUUUUCUUCUAUGUUUCGCCUUUAGAGCGAACGAGAAAGACGUUGAGAGAGAUCGGCGGAUCGUUCCCAACGAGGAGAGUGAUGGGUGUGAAGGAAGAGCCUAGGCUGAGAGAUUUGAAUUUUGGAAACUAUCAUGACCCUGCAAGUAUAGGAAAGAUUAAGAAGGAACGAGUAACGUAUGGGAGGUUUUAUUAUAGAGUACCUGGUGGUGAAACUGGAGCUGAAGUUUAUGAUCGUAUAUCAGGUCAGUUCUAUUGGUUUUUUCUACGACUUAAUGGUCAAAAUCACAAUUCAAUAUUGUUUUUUUCUCUACCCUAAUUUGUUUCCUUUUUCUACUUACAUGAUAAUAAUUCAUAGUUGAGGUGUGUUUUGUUACUGGUGAUAGUUCAAAUGGGAAAAGAGAACAAUUCAUAGUUAGUUAGAAUAUAAUAUUCGCAAAAAAAUGAUAAUUUAGAUAUGUAUUUGGCGAAAAAGUUAUAAUUCUGAACAGGGUGCUUGUUUGUCGUUGUUAUGCAUUUGAAGUGCUCUGUUUUUCAUUUUAAUUUCUUGAACAUAGUUUAGAUGUUUCUUUUCCUUCUUGAGCUAUAUAUAUGUUACCUUGACAUUUAAUUGAAGUGUAUAUUUAAGUAAACACGAUCUUAAUUUAUUGACUAGAAAUAAUAUGAUUUGACUUUUUUACAGUUUAUAAGCUGAAAGUCGUCUCCUUAUGAAAAAGUUAUAAUAAUAAUAAUAAGGAAGUAAAUUAGGUGGUGACUUUAAAGGAACAUAUACUAAGAUUUCUUGUACUAUCAAUAUAAUUCAACACAUUUAAUCGAGUUUAAGUUACAAACAUCAAUGGUGUAAGAAACCCUUCCACUCAUUCAAAGGAUGUCUAUAAGUAAGCCUCGUCCUGAUGAUGAUAUAACCUAAACUCUUUCCUAGACUACCAAUCAAUAUAUGUUAUGUAGAGAUUUGAUUAUAAUAAUUACCUUAGUCGUAAAUAAUAAGAUGAUUGUGUAAAUAUUUUCAAGACGAAUAGUAUAGUAAUAACAUAAACUCAUACUAUAACAAUAUGUAGGUUAUAUUGAAUGCUUGAGGAGGGACAUAGAAAUGAAGAAAUUCGUCUGUCAUGAUCCUUGUCAAGAAACCAACAUCAUCAUUGUUACCCAUGGACUAUCCAGUCGGAUCUUCCUCAUGAAAUGGUUCGACUGGACGAUUGAGCAGUUUGAGGAUCUCAAUAGGAUGAAACCUAGUGAAUUUCAAGUGUUGCAAUUAGGGCAUGGCGGGGAAUACAGCCUAGCAUUUCAUCAUGAUGACAAAAAACUUCACGAAUGGGGACUAUCUCCUGAUAUGAUAGAGGAUCAAAAAUGUAAAGCUUAUGGUCCUACAGGAGUUAAAUGGCAGGGAACUUGUGAUUCCUAUCCUUUCAUGGAUUGUUUUGCAGAAGAUUCAGAUGAUGAGAAUACUAU